ACGGGUGAGUAAUGUCUGGGAAACUGCCUGAUGGAGGGGGAGUAACUACUGGAAACGGUAGCUAAUACCGCAUAACGUCGCAAGACCAAGAGGGGGACCUUCGGGCCUCUUGCCAUCAGAUGUGCCCAGAUGGGAUUAGCUAGUAGGUGGGGUAACGGCUCACCUAGGCGACAAUCCCUAGCUGGUCUGAGAGGAUGACCAGCCACACUGGAACUGAGACACGGUCCAGACUCCUACGGGAGGCAGCAUG
rnacentral:rRNA from 1 species